UACAGAGCUGGCAACCGUUGUUCGGAAUCACUGGGCUUAAAGAGCACGUAGGCGGAGUGUCAAGUCGGCUGUGAAAUUCCACGGCUUACCCGUGGGGGGCCAGCCGAAACUAGCAUUCUAGAGGUCAGUAGGGGAGAGUGGAAUUCCUGGUGGAGCGGUGAAAUGCGUUGAUAUCAGGAGGAACGUCGGAGGCGAAGGCGACUCUCUGGACUGAAGCUGACGCUGAGGUGCGAAAGCCAGGGGAGCAAACGGG
rnacentral:rRNA from 1 species